CUUUCGGAGAGUUUGAUCCUGGCUCAGGACGAACGCUGGCGGCGUGCCUAAUACAUGCAAGUCGAGCGGAGUCAAUGAGAAGCUUGCUUCUCUGAGACUUAGCGGCGGACGGGUGAGUAACACGUAGGUAACCUGCCCAUAAGAU
rnacentral:ncRNA from 1 species